GAUGAACGCUGGCGGCGUGCCUAAUACAUGCAAGUCGAGCGAACAGAUGAGGAGCUUGCUCCUCUGACGUUAGCGGCGGACGGGUGAGUAACACGUGGAUAACCUACCUAUAAGACUGGGAUAACUUCGGGAAACCGGAGCUAAUAACGGAUAAUAUAUUGAACCGCAUGGUUCAAUAGUGAAAGACGGUUUUGCUGACACUUAUAGAUGGAUCCGCGCCGCAUUAGCUAGUUGGUAAGGUAACGGCUUACAAAGGCUACGAUGCGUAGCCGACCUGAGAGGGUGCUCGGCCACACUGGAACUGAGACACGGUCCAGACUCCUACGGGAGGCAGCAGUAGGGAAUCUUCCGCAAUGGGCGAAAGCUUGACGGAGCAACGCCGCGUGAGUGAUGAAGGUCUUCGGAUCGUAAAACUCUGUUAUUAGGGAAGAACAAAUGUGUAAGUAACUAUGCACGUCUUGACGGUACCUAAUCAGAAAGCCACGGCUAACUACGUG
rnacentral:rRNA from 1 species